GAGCUGUUUAGUUACAAUCCUGCUUCAUUGACUUAACUUUACAACAACAUUUUUCCUGUUUUACAUCUUCACUUGAGCAGGAUCCCAUGGCGACCAUAAAAGUAUUUGUCCUGAUGAUGUGCCUGAUUGGACUGUGUUUCUCCAUUCCAGUGUCUAAUGAUCAUGUUCGAGUGGCGCGCUCAUCCAGUGAGGAGCACGGCCGUUUCCAGGGAUUCUAUCCGCCACAACCAUACCCAAAUUACCAGCAGGGUUAUUCCGGAGGUAAUUCUGCCUUGAUGGCCCUCCUGCCCUACCUGUUUGGAGGGAUAUGAAAAGAAACUGCUUCACAUCAAUUUUGUUCAAACUGCUGUUCAAAUUGCUAUUCAAAGCAAAUAAAUCCAUGAUCAAUAAAUCAAUCAAUUUAAGAUUU